rnacentral:tRNA from 1 species
GCCGAAGUGGCGGAACUGGUAGACGCGAGAGACUUAAAAUCUCUUGGUGGCAACACUGUGUGGGUUCGAGUCCCACCUUCGGCA